rnacentral:rRNA from 1 species
AGAGUUUGAUCAUGGCUCAGAUUGAACGCUGGCGGCGGGCCUAACACAUGCAAGUCGAGCGGUAACAGAAAGUAGCUUGCUACUUUGCUGACGAGCGGCGGACGGGUGAGUAAUGCUUGGGAACAUGCCUUGAGGUGGGGGACAACAGUUGGAAACGACUGCUAAUACCGCAUAAUGUCUACGGACCAAAGGGGGCUUCGGCUCUCGCCUUUAGAUUGGCCCAAGUGGGAUUAGCUAGUUGGUGAGGUAAUGGCUCACCAAGGCAACGAUCCCUAGCUGGUUUGAGAGGAUGAUCAGCCACACUGGAACUGAGACACGGUCCAGACUCCUACGGGAGGCAGCAGUGGGGAAUAUUGCACAAUGGGCGAAAGCCUGAUGCAGCCAUGCCGCGUGUGUGAAGAAGGCCUUCGGGUUGUAAAGCACUUUCAGUCAGGAGGAAAGGGUGUGAGUUAAUACCUCACAUCUGUGACGUUACUGACAGAAGAAGCACCGGCUAACUCCGUGCCAGCAGCCGCGGUAAUACGGAGGGUGCGAGCGUUAAUCGGAAUUACUGGGCGUAAAGCGUACGCAGGCGGUUUGUUAAGCGAGAUGUGAAAGCCCCGGGCUCAACCUGGGAACUGCAUUUCGAACUGGCAAACUAGAGUGUGAUAGAGGGUGGUAGAAUUUCANGUGUAGCGGUGAAAUGCGUAGAGAUCUGAAGGAAUACCGAUGGCGAAGGCAGCCACCUGGGUCAACACUGACGCUCAUGUACGAAAGCGUGGGGAGCAAACGGGAUUAGAUACCCCGGUAGUCCACGCCGUAAACGAUGUCUACUAGAAGCUCGGAACCUCGGUUCUGUUUUUCAAGCUAACGCAUUAAGUAGACCGCCUGGGGAGUACGGCCGCAAGGUUAAAACUCAAAUGAAUUGACGGGGGCCCGCACAAGCGGUGGAGCAUGUGGUUUAAUUCGAUGCAACCCGAAAAACUUUACCUACACUUGACAUC